AGCUGAACCAAGUGGAUGGAUAGCCAAGGGAGGAUCAGAUUACUGCCCAUUUUCAGGGUCUGACCAAGAGCUAUAUACUAAUGGGUUCUGUUUUCUGACACAGAAAUUAUGGUGUCAGAAGUGGGAUCUCUGAGGGUCAACCUGUGGAGCAAGACUGAGAAGGGAUCAAUCAGCAAGAACUAAAUACAACAUGGUCUAUAAGCAGCAAAGAAAUGGAGCAACGUAAAACACCUUCUCAGAGAGUCUGCUUCUACUAGCUUAUCUGUUUCCUACAGACACCCUCAAAAUGGGAAAGAUAUUAUUUAUUGCAGGCCCCAGACUGUUUCCCAAGGCUUCACUUGCAGGCGCCACAAGGCAGCUAUAGGCAAGACACAAUUCAGAAAACAGAGACAAUCCUUUCCUUCAACAGUUUAUAUUUUAAUUGUAGAAAAGUCCACACAAAAAAAAGAAAGGUGAAGACGGAAGAAGGGAGAUGAAGGCAGAGAAGAACAGUAAGAGCAAUGAAGACAUGACUGGCCUGUGAUCUCCUUAAGUGGAGAUUCAUAAAGGAAACAUCCAACCCAAGGGAAAGACCAUAGAUUCUGCAAAGUCCAGUGGCAGGAAGUCAGGAUGAUUGACCAUGGCCUGGAAGCAAUAGACAACCUUGGCGUCUUUGAUGAUUGACCAAGCUUUAGUGAUGAAGAGGGAGGCUGGAAGAAUGUGCAGUGUACUGGCAAGGGAGCUGAGGAAAAAGCUAGAGAACAGAUGUGAAUAAAGGGCAGAACAUGAUACUUUAAGACUCCAAUGUACUCUGAAGUCCAAUGUGGCCCCAGUUCCCAGCAGACCUCCAGGGCUUAUUCUGUUUCAAGAGACGAUUACCCUCACCAUAGCAAUAUCAUGUUUGCAUGGUUACAAGGACUUCCACAGAGGAAAAGAUAUUCCUGGCAACCCAAACUUGAAAUAAUCCUGGGAUUUCCCAGGUUUAAAUUUGAUUCCCUCCAUCCAUUCAUGAAGAAUUUACAUACUAAAGCAAAUUGUGAUGGGUGUUUGGUUGUUUGUUUGUUUAAUGGUGAACUGGUAUUUGUACCAAAGUAAGACUGUAUAAAAAUGCUUGUCAAUUUAAAAAACUCUUAUGAUAGUUAAUAAAUUAUAAGCAUCUUCAGAAAUGGACCAUGUUAAGUCAAGAUGCAUUUAUUAAUCAUUUAGCAGGAAUCAAGCACUUUGC
rnacentral:lncRNA from 1 species